rnacentral:lncRNA from 1 species
GAGCGGCGCGCGCAAUAAAGCGGAAGGUGCAGCAACUCGCACACGCGGUGGAGAAAGUGAGGGUUGGGUGAGAGUUCUUUGCAUUUUGGCUCUUUUUUUUUCGCGGGAGGGCGUGCGUUGGGACCUGGGUCGCGCGUGUCGUGUGUGCCCGGGGCUGCUGCGGGGACGGCCACGCUAUGGCGUGGACGGGGUCAGGGCCUUUGUAAGGGCCUGGCACCCGCGCUCCGAGGCGAGCCUGAGUGCUCUCUGCGGGGCGGGCAGUGGCGACCGGAGAGGGUGGUGGCUCUUUGGGGGUUCUCGGGGGGUGGGAGAGGAGCACUGCCGCCGAAGCGAACUGGGGACACCAGAACUAGUCCUCCUUUGUCUGCACCGCAGCCUGGCUGCGCCAUUUCUGUUGCCCACGUCGCAGGGCUCCGCCAUUUUGUCCGUUUCGGGGUGGGGGUGGCUUGUGACAUUGAGCUUUUCUUUCUGAGGUUUUCCACACCUGUGCUAGCUACACGUACUUUUCUUCGGAAAUCGUUCUUGUGUAUUCCCAUUUCACGUGGCUGGCGUUUUUGUGCAACGUAGAACAGAGACUGUGGGGCAGGUAGAGACAGAAUUUCAAGGGUUCCUGAGGAAGAAGUGCGAGUGGGGUCUCUAAGUGAAUUACUGGGUUGUGUCUGAGAACCAGAUAGGAGUAGUUUUAGGAGAAAGCAGAUGGGGCCUUUGUUCACUUUCAGGAAUCAUUCUGACACUGUCACUUAAAUAUCAGUUUCGUGAUCACUCAGAAUAUCAGAGUUUUGUGUUAAACGUUAGUUCUGGGCUAACCGGACUUUUUUGGACAUCGUCUCCCUGACUCCCGAGGAAUACUACGGCUCUGCCAAGGAGAUCCAGCCCAGGAGCAGCUAGCUGAUUUUCUCUCCCCACCACAACCCAGCAAGAAUCCUCUCUAGCUGAGUUUCUCCCUUCAGUCAAUCAUCUAGAAAACCGUUGACUUUAUCCUAACUGUUGCCAUGUCACAAGUGGAAGGAUAUUCAUCCAUUCAUCAUUGGAGCGCGCCCCCUUUUGCCAUUGUCCCAUGUAUUCCUUUUUCGCGCCAUUUUUUUUUUUUUUUUUUACUUGUUAAAAUCCUCAAACAUGCAGGGAAAUAGACAUGUUUGACAGAACAUUUCCCCACGUUUACUUUUGUGUCUUUCACGUUUUGAAAGUAAAUUUCUUGGUUCAUCCAAAACAGUUAACACGGUGUCUCUAAAGUAACAUUUUUCUACUUAAUGACACUGCUGUUGUCGUCCUCAGUGAGAUAAUUCCUUAAUGAGGCCAUCUCCUAUCUGCUCUGUGUCCAUAGUUCCCAAGUCAUCUCCAAAAUGUCUUCCACGGUUGAUUUGUUCAAAAAUGGUUGUGUUUAAGGGUCUCUGGUCAUUGCUUACGCUGCUUGUAUUUUAGGUUUCUCUUUUCCUCUUCAUUUACCCCAACAGUUUCUUUCAAGGGAUUUGCAUCUUAGCUUUAAUUGUUUAGGGUCAGUAGCAGGUAUAGCCAAUGCUGGAAAUCUGCAAAACUAGGCAAGGAGGUUAGCAGGUUCUCUCCAUGUAAUGGGUUUGAGGACAGUCCCUUGUGGGGACUGGGGAGUGACACUGGGGAGGUGAGGGCAUUUUGGUGUCACCACAGGCCUGGAAGGCUGUGGGUAUUUGUACGUCCGAUGCAUUUUGUGUUUUCCAGUCUCUAAGCACUGUUAGCUUGCUUGGCCUCUGUCCCUGAAGGUGAGUGGCCUUGGGACCUGGUUGCAGAGGGACUGGAGCUCCCAUGAUGUCUAGCACUGGGCUCCGAUCACCCCUGAGGACACAGUGUGCCCCCCAGGACCUUUGACACCUGGGGGUCUGAGGGGCCCUGGUUUUGAUGUUCUUUGGACCCCCAGGCUGUUUCUUCCCCUACCCUCACCAGAUCCUUCCUGUGUUACAGGUGUGUCUUCAAGCUGAGGGCCCACCCGCCUUGGUAAGAACCCUUGCUCCCAGUCCCUGACCCACCCAGGUCUAAAAUAUCUCACCCUCACUUGGAGUGACUUCACAUCAGAUAUCUCUGGGACCUAAUUUUAUAUGCCAGCAAUCAUGCAAAUCCCAGCUCUGUUCUUGGGCUCAGGGAUGUUAGUCAAGUGAUUGGUCUCCUGAGCCUCAGUUUCUGUGUCUGUAGAGUGGGCACAACGCAUCAAAGGUAAGGGUUGAAUAUGACAGAAUAUAUGGGCUGUAGAAGAGGAAAAUAUUUAGUCACUUUUUGGUGUCCGUGGGGGAGUGGUUCCAGGGCCCCGCGGAUAUGGAGGGCCCAGUGUAUGUUUUGGGGUUUCAGGGAAGAGGACUAGUCAGAAAUCUGAUUUUCAAACUCGGCAGAAGAAAAGAAACAGAAGGGCUGGAAGCAUUAUCACUCACUGCAGGGCGGUGGGGGUGGUUUGUAGACUAAACACAGUGUACCUUCCAGCAACGGUUAGGCAGCUUCCCAUGCAUCAUGUAUAUGUAAACUGCUAGAGCUGUUAAGGUUACCCUCAGUUUAUACAAUACUUGUCAGAGAACAUGGUAUAUCUGGAGAAUGUUUCAUAAAUGUUUCACAUUGGAGAAUGUUUCACAGAUGUUUCAAAGAGCUAAGUAAAUCAUCAAGUGGGCAUGGGUAUGUGUGUUACCCAAAAAGAAACAAGUGUUCCCAGCUCUAGGAGGGUUUUUUUCUCUGUUCAGUGAGGUCUGGGCCUAAAUCUAUAUUCCCAUUAAUAAGCAUGACUUGAUACCGAUACAGGUAUGUCUUCACCUGUAUUUAGAUAACUUUCUACAUACAUAAUGUGGAGAACUGAAAGUGUAGCCUGUGGGGUUCUUAGAGGUUUAGGUUCUCGCCAACAGGUACCUUAGGGGGCGUGGAGCUGCGUCCUGUGAAGGGUUAGCUCAGAAUGCAGACCAUCUGAGCAUCUUUCUGGGGGGCUGUUCUCUUCAUCUGAGGUGUCCUCUGCAGAGCUCUGAAGGUUUGCUGUGGGCUGAGAGGGAAUUUCUGGGAUAAUGUGGAGUAGAGAGUGUCACUUGGGCAGCGAUACGUGAGGGGGGUGAGAAGAGGGAGCACUGACAGCAGGACAGGGAAGCCCUAAGGGAUGUGUAACAUCUGUCGAUGUCUGAGGCACUGCUGGCCAGCAGAACUGGCAAGGUGGAAAUGUUCUACUCUGCAUUGCCCAGUCCGGGGGCAGCGGAGUUGGGGUGUGGGGUUUGAGGACACUGGGACCCCCAUGAUGUCCAGCACUGGGCUCUGAUCUCUGUUGAGGACACAGUGCCCCCCGGGACCUUUGACACCCGGGGGUCUGAGUGGGGGGGUCCCGUCUCUGGGGAGGGACGGAUGGGGGCCAUGGUUGCCCUGCACCCUACCUAUAACCUCUCCAUCCCCCCAUCCCUUCCUGUCUGCAGGUGGUUCCCGCAGGAGUUGAGCAGCCCUCGGUAAGAACAGAAGAGACUCCCUUACUAUUAAUGCUGUAAUAAUCAUAUUAAACUUGUUAUAUUA